AUUGAACGCUGGCGGCAUGCCUUACACAUGCAAGUCGAACGGCAGCACGGGUGCUUGCACCUGGUGGCGAGUGGCGAACGGGUGAGUAAUACAUCGGAACAUGUCCUGUAGUGGGGGAUAGCCCGGCGAAAGCCGGAUUAAUACCGCAUACGAUCUACGGAUGAAAGCGGGGGACCUUCGGGCCUCGCGCUAUAGGGUUGGCCUAUGGCUGAUUAGCUAGUUGGUGGGGUAAAGGCCUACCAAGGCGACGAUCAGUAGCUGGUCUGAGAGGACGACCAGCCACACUGGGACUGAGACACGGCCCAGACUCCUACGGGAGGCAGCAGUGGGGAAUUUUGGACAAUGGGCGAAAGCCUGAUCCAGCAAUGCCGCGUGUGUGAAGAAGGCCUUCGGGUUGUAAAGCACUUUUGUCCGGAAAGAAAUCCUUGGCCCUAAUACGGUCGGGGGAUGACGGUACCGGAAGAAUAAGCACCGGCUAACUACGUG
rnacentral:rRNA from 1 species